GUCUGGAAUUGAUUUUAUUUUUACAUCAAUACUUUUUCUCUGGAAUUGAUUUUCUUUUUCUCCCAAAUGCUACCUUUAAAUCAUCAUACUUAUCUUCGGAACAAUGUCAAGUCCCAUAUAUAGUAGAAAUCUAUAUAAGUUUCUUAAUAGACUCUUAAAAAAAUAAAUCUUUAUUUUCAGACAGUAGAAACUUAUGGAUAUAUGACACACUACUCGUUACUUUCACAUCACAGGAUAAUUUCUCCGUAGAUAAUAACUUUUGCGAUUGAAGUUCUUCAACAAAGAUAGUGUUUCAUGAAUCUGAUUGCAAAGAGUGGUCCAAUGGCAUUUAAAUUGUGCUUAGCAACAUCUGUGUUCAUCUUGAUAGAUUCAUGUUUGAAACACCAGCAUUGACCUUGUCGAAAUGCUACUUCUGUUAGAUGUGUUUCAGUGUCAUCGUUGGCAAGGAGAAAUUACAUUCCGUAAACUCAUUUGAAUUUGGCAGAAAGUGAAUUGGAGAUAUUACUUCCAUGUUGGUCUAAUAUAAACUAGCAGUGUUGAAUAGCAUGGUUGUAUCAUGUAUAUAUGCUACAAAGAUUCUUGGAGCAUGUCCUCCUUCCACACUCCUUCAAGCUGUUGGUUAUUGCUGUGAAAAUCCAUAACUAACAACUAGUUGCGCGUAACCACUGUGAUUAAUCAUUAAAGGUCACGAACAUGAAUAAGAUUUGCGUAAAUGCAGUCACUCGUGAUCCCAGCAACUCGUUUUUCAGACAUAGUGGUAGAUUCAACUUGAGUUGUUAAGAGUCUGUUGUAGUCAUUUCACUUAUAUUCAGACUAUUUGGGUCUUUCCCAUUUUCAGAUGUCUAUUCUUUUAGCUUCCGCAUA